GAGCUAUUAUUACCACACUGAUAGAUUAAUUUUGCCUUUUAUCUGCAGCCUACAUUAUGCACUGUGGAACGCUCUGCGGAUGGACAGCUGUGGAAUCCGCAAAGGUCAAGAAGGCUUUUGUUACGAGGGCUGGAAGUUCCAAAAAAUCCAUGAAGCUGGGGCAACACUGACCAGAGACCUGCAAUCCUUUGGAUGAAGAAGGCUACAUUUGUGAAUCAUUUCUUGUGUUGGUUAAACAGGAGACAUGAAGAGUUCUUGAUGCUUUUGGUUUGCCUCAUCCAUUAUGUCGGAAAAGAACAGGAGUGGGGAAUGCGCUGUUGACUGCAUGGCCAACUGGAGCACCCACAAGGCUCUUGUGAAGGAAGUCAACAAGCUCUUGUGCUUCAGAUGACAUGCUGUCCAUGCAUCUCAAAUUGAGAAGGAUGGAUGGAAAGAACUCUUUGACCAACCCCCAACUGAGAGAGCUGAGGUGG